rnacentral:rRNA from 1 species
AUUGAACGCUGGCGGCAGGCCUAACACAUGCAAGUCGAGCGGUAGCACAGAGAGCUUGCUCUCGGGUGACGAGCGGCGGACGGGUGAGUAAUGUCUGGGAAACUGCCUGAUGGAGGGGGAUAACUACUGGAAACGGUAGCUAAUACCGCAUAACGUCGCAAGACCAAAGAGGGGGACCUUCGGGCCUCUUGCCAUCAGAUGUGCCCAGAUGGGAUUAGCUAGUAGGUGGGGUAACAGCUCACCUAGGCGACGAUCCCUAGCUGGUCUGAGAGGAUGACAAGCCACACUGGAACUGAGACACGGUCCAGACUCCUACGGGAGGCAGCAGUGGGGAAUAUUGCACAAUGGGCGCAAGCCUGAUGCAGCCAUGCCGCGUGUAUGAAGAAGGCCUUCGGGUUGUAAAGUACUUUCAGCGGGGAGGAAGGUGCUGAGGUUAAUAACCUCAGCAAUUGACGUUACCCGCAGAAGAAGCACCGGCUAACUCCGUGCCAGCCGCCGCGGUAA